UGGGGAAUAUUGGACAAUGGGGGGAACCCUGAUCCAGCAAUGCCGCGUGUGUGAAGAAGGCCUGAGGGUUGUAAAGCACUUUCAGUGGGGAGGAGGUUAAUUAGGUUAAGAGCUAGAUUAAUGGACGUUACCCACAGAAGAAGCACCGGCUAACUCCGUGCCAGCAGCCGCGGUAAUACGGAGGGUGCGAGCGUUAAUCGGAAUUACUGGGCGUAAAGGGUGCGUAGGUGGUUAAUUAAGUUAUCUGUGAAAUCCCUGGGCUCAACCUGGGCAGGUCAGAUAAUACUGGUUAACUCGAGUAUGGGAGAGGGUAGUGGAAUUUCCGGUGUAGCGGUGAAAUGCGUAGAGAUCGGAAGGAACACCAGUGGCGAAGGCGGCUACCUGGCCUAAUACUGACACUGAGGCACGAAAGCGUGGGGAGCAAACAG
rnacentral:rRNA from 1 species